GUGUGCGGGCGCGGGGAAGGAGCGCGGGGCAGGCGGGCGGGGAUGAGGCAGGUGCGCCGUUCCUCCACCCCACGACCAGGUCCCGGUUCUGGCGGAUUUGGCCCAGGCACCCCCAGCCCCCAGAUCUGGCCGGGUGCGGCGGCUCAUGCCUGUAAUCCCAGCACUUUGGGAGGCCGAAGCAGGUGGAUCACAUGAAGUCAGAAGUUGGAGACUAGCCUGGCCAACAUGCCAGCCUCCAGCAUCGCCUCCUCUGGGAUCUUCUCUGACUUCCCAGUCGGUUUCAGAAGCCUCUGAUGACCCCAUGCGGAGAAGACUGCUCCCCUCACUGCUGGCACACGGCAGAUGCUCAACACUUGCUCCAGCUUCGCCUUCCGCCGCGAGUUGAAGCUCCCCGAGGCCUCCUCAGAAGCAGAAGCCACCACGCUUCCUGUACAGCCUGUGGGACCCGGAGCCAGUUCAACCUCUUUUCUUUAUAAAUUACCCAGACUCGGCCGGGCACGGUGGCUCACGCCUGUAAUCCCAGCACUUUGUUGAGACCGAGGCAGGCAGAUCACGAGGUCAGGAGAUCGAGAACAUCCUGGCUAACACGGUGAAACCCCGUCUCUACUAAAAAUACAAAAAAUUAGCCGGGCGUGGUGGCGGGCGCCUGUGGUCCCAGCUACUCGGGAGGCUGAGGCAGGAGAAUGGUGUGAACCCGGG
rnacentral:lncRNA from 1 species